CCUACGGGAGGCAGCAGUGGGGAAUAUUGGGCAAUGGGCGCAAGCCUGACCCAGCAACGCCGCGUGAAGGAAGAAGGCUUUCGGGUUGUAAACUUCUUUUAAGAGGGAAGAGCAGAAGACGGUACCUCUUGAAUAAGCCACGGCUAACUACGUGCCAGCAGCCGCGGUAAUACGUAGGUGGCAAGCGUUGUCCGGAUUUACUGGGUGUAAAGGGCGUGCAGCCGGGAAGACAAGUCAGAUGUGAAAUCCCGCGGCUCAACCGCGGAACUGCAUUUGAAACUGUUUUUCUUGAGUACCGGAGAGGUCAUCGGAAUUCCUUGUGUAGCGGUGAAAUGCGUAGAUAUAAGGAAGAACACCAGUGGCGAAGGCGGAUGACUGGACGGCAACUGACGGUGAGGCGCGAAAGCGUGGGGAGCAAACAGGAUUAGAUACCCCAGUAGUC
rnacentral:rRNA from 1 species